UACGUAGGGUCCGAGCGUUGUCCGGAAUUACUGGGCGUAAAGAGCUCGUAGGUGGUUUGUCGCGUUGUUCGUGAAAACUCACAGCUCAACUGUGGGCGUGCGGGCGAUACGGGCAGACUGGAGUACUGCAGGGGAGACUGGAAUUCCUGGUGUAGCGGUGGAAUGCGCAGAUAUCAGGAGGAACACCGGUGGCGAAGGCGGCUCUCUGGACGGUGACUGACGCUGAGACGCGAAAGCUAGGGGAGCAAACGGG
rnacentral:rRNA from 1 species